AGGGAAUUAGCUCAAUCGGUAGAGCGAUUGUUUUACACGCAAGUGGUUAUAAGUUCGAAUCUUAUAUUCCCUA
rfam:Tuber melanosporum whole genome shotgun sequence assembly, scaffold_251, strain Mel28